GAUGAACGCUGGCGGCGUGCCUAAUACAUGCAAGUCGAGCGAACGGACUAGAAGCUUGCUUCUCUGAUGUUAGCGGCGGACGUGUGUGUAACACGUGGAUAACCUACCUAUAUGACUGGUAUAACUUCGGGACACCGGAGCUAAUACCGGAUAAUAUUUUGAACCGCAUGGUUCAAAAGUGAAAGACGGUCUUGCUGUCACUUAUAGAUGGAUCCGCGCUGCAUUAGCUAGUUGGUAAGGUAACGGCUUACCAAGGCAACGAUGCAUAGCCGACCUGAGAGAGGGGUAGGCCACACUAGAACGGGGACAGGGUCAAGACGCCUAAGAGAGGCAGCAGUAGGGAAUGGGACGCAGUGGGGGAGAGCAUGACAGAAUAGCGAGGCGUGAGAGAUGAAGAUCCUCGGAUGGUGAAGAUCUGUUAUGGGGGAAAAACAUAUGUGAAAGUAGAUGUACACAUCUUGACGGUACCUAAUCAAAAAGCCACGGCUAACUACGUG
rnacentral:rRNA from 1 species